CUGACCGAUAGUGAACCAGUACCGUGAGGGAAAGGCGAAAAGAACCCCGGCGAGGGGAGUGAAAAAGAACCUGAAACCGUGUACGUACAAGCAGUGGGAGCACGCUUAGGCGUGUGACUGCGUACCUUUUGUAUAAUGGGUCAGCGACUUAUAUUCUGUAGCAAGGUUAACCGAAUAGGGGAGCCGAAGGGAAACCGAGUCUUAACUGGGCGUUAAGUUGCAGGGUAUAGACCCGAAACCCGGUGAUCUAGCCAUGGGCAGGUUGAAGGUUGGGUAACACUAACUGGAGGACCGAACCGACUAAUGUUGAAAAAUUAGCGGAUGACUUGUGGCUGGGGGUGAAAGGCCAAUCAAACCGGGAGAUAGCUGGUUCUCCCCGAAAGCUAUUUAGGUAGCGCCUCGUGAAUUCAUCUCCGGGGGUAGAGCACUGUUUCGGCAAGGGGGUCAUCCCGACUUACCAACCCGAUGCAAACUGCGAAUACCGGAGAAUGUUAUCACGGGAGACACACGGCGGGUGCUAACGUCCGUCGUGAAGAGGGAAACAACCCAGACCGCCAGCUAAGGUCCCAAAGUCAUGGUUAAGUGGGAAACGAUGUGGGAAGGCCCAGACAGCCAGGAUGUUGGCUUAGAAGCAGCCAUCAUUUAAAGAAAGCGUAAUAGCUCACUGGUCGAGUCGGCCUGCGCGGAAGAUGUAACGGGGCUAAACCAUGCACCGAAGCUGCGGCAGCGACGCUGAUGCGUUGUUGGGUAGGGGAGCGUUCUGUAAGCCUGCGAAGGUGUGCUGUGAGGCAUGCUGGAGGUAUCAGAAGUGCGAAUGCUGACAUAAGUAACGAUAAAGCGGGUGAAAAGCCCGCUCGCCGGAAGACCAAGGGUUCCUGUCCAACGUUAAUCGGGGCAGGGUGAGUCGACCCCUAAGGCGAGGCCGAAAGGCGUAGUCGAUGGGAAACAGGUUAAUAUUCCUGUACUUGGUGUUACUGCGAAGGGGGGACGGAGAAGGCUAUGUUGGCCGGGCGACGGUUGUCCCGGUUUAAGCGUGUAGGCUGGUUUUCCAGGCAAAUCCGGAAAAUCAAGGCUGAGGCGUGAUGACGAGGCACU
rnacentral:rRNA from 1 species